UAUCUAUAUUAUGUAAACCGAAUAUGUCUUCGUCGUCAAUCUCGUAGUAUUACCACAGAAUAGAUGGAAACUAUUUCAUCUAUUCUGUGGUAUUACACUAUUACGAAUAAUAUUGUACGAUAAUAUCAAAGUAUUUUACCGAACGAUCGAAGUAUCGAAUUGUUAUCAAUUACUAGGAACAUUUACGACUAACGACUAACCAUAAGUUAACAACAUUGUUGUCAUGCAAGUACCAAAAUAAAUAUGAAGUUAGAAUUAUAAACGGUUGAAUUGUUUUUCAUUCUGUCAACCAGUUCACUCGGUUUGAUUCGUCUUACUUCACAAACAAAGUUUUGAUCUCAGUGCAACUGGUGUAACUACAGAAUUACCAAGUCUAACUGCAUCUGCCACAACUACAACGCAAAUACCGUAACCAUAAUUAAAAGGUAUUAAACAAAAAUUAUUCGAUAGUGUAGAUUGUGGUAAUCAGUCUGUGAACAUGCUACCUGAGGUGCUACCUAUGUUUGAAAUUGUACUAAUUAUUAAUUAUAUAAGGACUGUAAGUUACACCUGUCAUCCCAUGAUUUCACCACACUUAGAAAUGUCAAAAUUAAAAAUAAAUUUGAAAAGAAAAAAACUCUUAGACAACUGUAAGAAGGUUAAGGAACAGACUAUCAUUGAUGGAAGCUCUCUUUAAACACGAUGAUAAUAUUUUAGAGCUUAAUACUUAUUGAUGUUGAUGUCUUAAAGUUGUUGGAAGAAAAAUAUAAAAUUGAUUUAUAAUUGAA
rnacentral:lncRNA from 1 species